CUAGCUAGGUAGCAUGCAACACUCUCGAUGCAUGCAACCGUGUAUCAGGAGUCCAGGACACGAAGGUUCUUGAAUGGUUCCUCUUUUAUCAUGCAUGUUGUGUUGAUUUAGAGGAGGACGAAUAAUUUUUUGCUUGGCAGAUGUAGAUCUAUGUGCUCGUGUGUGCUCGUGUGUGCGCGUGUGGUGUGCGGGGAUGGCAGGGAUGCGUCACAGAUGUAUUUGUUGUUUGCUGCCAUAUUAAGCGAUGAUGAUGAAUGUAUAUAUAGUGUGUUUCCGUG
rnacentral:rRNA from 1 species